rnacentral:rRNA from 1 species
UGAGGAAUUUUCCGCAAUGGGCGCAAGCCUGACGGAGCGACGCCGCGUGAGGGAUGAAGGCUUUCGGGUCGUAAACCUCUUUUACAAGGGAAAAAGGCGCAAGCUUGAUGGUACUUUGUGAAUAAGCCCCGGCUAACUACGUGCCAGCAGCCGCGGUAAUACGUAGGGGGCGAGCGUUGUCCGGAAUUACUGGGCGUAAAGGGCGUGUAGGCGGUUGGAAAAGUCUGGUGUGAAAUGUUUCGGCUUAACCGGAACGCUGCGCUGGAAACUUUCUGACUGGAGUAUGGGAGGGGUAACUGGAAUCCCCGGUGUAACGGUGAAAUGUGUAGAUAUCGGGGGGAACACCUGUGGCGAAGGCGGGUUACUGGACCAUUACUGACGCUGAGACGCGAAAGCGUGGGGAGCAAACAGG